rnacentral:rRNA from 1 species
CUUGCUAUUUUUAUGAAGAGCGGCGAACGGGUGAGUAACGCGUGGGAAAUCUGCCGAGUAGCGGGGGACAACGUUUGGAAACGAACGCUAAUACCGCAUAACAAUGAGAAUCGCAUGAUUCUUAUUUAAAAGAAGCAAUUGCUUCACUACUUGAUGAUCCCGCGUUGUAUUAGCUAGUUGGUAGUGUAAAGGACUACCAAGGCGAUGAUACAUAGCCGACCUGAGAGGGUGAUCGGCCACACUGGGACUGAGACACGGCCCAGACUCCUACGGGAGGCAGCAGUAGGGAAUCUUCGGCAAUGGGGGCAACCCUGACCGAGCAACGCCGCGUGAGUGAAGAAGGUUUUCGGAUCGUAAAACUCUGUUGUUAGAGAAGAACGUUAAGUAGAGUGGAAAAUUACUUAAGUGACGGUAUCUAACCAGAAAGGGACGGCUAACUACGUGCCAGCAGCCGCGGUAAUACGUAGGUCCCAAGCGUUGUCCGGAUUUAUUGGGCGUAAAGCGAGCGCAGGUGGUUUCUUAAGUCUGAUGUAAAAGGCAGUGGCUCAACCAUUGUGUGCAUUGGAAACUGGGAGACUUGAGUGCAGGAGAGGAGAGUGGAAUUCCAUGUGUAG